rnacentral:rRNA from 1 species
UAAGUAAGUGGUGGAAAUUAAACCAAAUGGGAUAUCUUUAGUAAUUGCGAAUGAACAAGGAUAUGCUUAGCUUGACAAAUGGAGCUAUUGGCUUUGAAUUGUAUUGUGGAAAUGUAUUACCAACAGAGGUGCAGGUGCCAGCCUAUUGAAAUAAAGCGUCAAUGAGGGUGAGAAUCCUGUUUGUCAUGUGCAGCCCUUUGUGCACGGUGUAUAUUUGCUGAGUCACACUCCUUGGCAUUGGAAUGCAAAGUGGGUGGUAAGUUUCAUGUAAAGGUAAACAUGCAAUUGAGACUGAUAGCACACAAGUACCAUGAGGGAAAUAUGAAAAGGACUUUGAAAAGAGAAUUAAAUGAGUUUGUAUUUGCUGAACACAAAGUAAACAGACUUGAUUUGCUUGGUGGGAGUGUUGCACUUGCUUGACAAGAGCUUUGGGCUGUGGGUGUAAUGAUUCUUUCUUUGCAUGCCAGUUUCUAUUUGUACAUCUGAUUACCUUUGCACAUGAAUGAUAAGUCUCCUGUGGGGGGUGAAUUGCAUGUGCAUGUAAUGAUUUGUGUUUUGAUAAAUGUGUCUGGUGUAUGUGUGUGUUCCUGUGCUUGGGGAUGCUUCCUUCCUUGGACUUACAAGCCCUGACACACACAUGCUGGCAAAAUGCUUCUGCUUGACCCG